rnacentral:piRNA from 1 species
GUAUUGAGCAGGAGGGACUGCACCUG